rnacentral:ribozyme from 13 species
GAAAAGAGAGAGGGAGAAGAAGGAGAAAAAGAAAGAGAGAGAGAGAGAGAAGAGUAUUCUUCUCGCUUUUUUGACUUAGUAAAGAGAAUUGUUCUUUCACACGACUCUUCUUCUUCUUCUUCUUCACCCAUCUCCUCUCUCUCUCCUUCUCUCUUUUCUUCUUCAAA